GUCAGUGUCGUCUAGUGGUUAGGACACAAGCUCCACACGCUUGAGAUCGAGGGUUCAGUCUCCUCCACUGAUA
rnacentral:tRNA from 1 species